GAUGGCGAAGGCAGCUUCCUGGCAUCAUACUGACACUGAGGCUCGAAAGCGUGGGUAGCAAACAGGAUUAGAUACCCUGGUAGUCCACGCCGUAAACGAUGUCUACUAGUCGUUGGGUCCCUUGAGGACUUAGUGACGCAGCUAACGCAAUAAGUAGACCGCCUGGGGAGUACGGCCGCAAGGUUAAAACUCAAAUGAAUUGACGGGGGCCCGCACNAGCGGUGGAGCAUGUGGUUUAAUUCGAUGCAACGCGAAGAACCUUACCUGGUCUUGACAUACACAGAAUCUUGUAGAGAUACGAGAGUGCCUUCGGGAAUUGUGAUACAGGUGCUGCAUGGCUGUCGUCAGCUCGUGUCGUGAGAUGUUGGGUUAAGUCCCGCAACGAGCGCAACCCUUGUCCUUAGUUACCAGCGGGUUAAGCCGGGAACUCUAAGGAUACUGCCAGUGACAAACUGGAGGAAGGCGGGGACGACGUCAAGUCAUCAUGGCCCUUACGACCAGGGCUACACACGUGCUACAAUGGUAGGUACAGAGGGCAGCUACACAGCGAUGUGAUGCGAAUCUCAAAAAGCCUAUCGUAGUCCAGAUUGGAGUCUGCAACUCGACUCCAUGAAGUAGGAAUCGCUAGUAAUCGCGGAUCAGAAUGCCGCGGUGAAUACGUUCCCGGGCCUUGUACACACCGCCCGUCACACCAUGGGAGUUGAUUGCACCAGAAGUGGUUAGCCGAACCUUUUAGGACGGCG
rnacentral:rRNA from 1 species